CCCGAGUUCGAUUGCUCCCCCCUCCCCCUGCCCCCACUGGACAGUGUUCACAUUAUAUUAUUUGGGUCCGACCCGCGGUUCGUUUGCGUCAUCAAACCAGCAGCUGUUUACUACGUUGCUUAGUAACGAUGGCGCAGGAGAAGGCGGCAAAAUGCAUAACGUUGCUCUCCUCACUUUUAUAUUUUUGAACCGUUGGUUUUGCUCAUAACGGCUCUUGCGUCUAUCUGCCGCGAAUGUAGAAUGCUGAAGGCGAGCAGAAAUGAGAAAAGCUACGCUACAGCUCUCUGUUUGCAGCACGUCAGUCACGCUCGUCGGGAAAGCGGCAGCCGAUCUUUGCAGCACCGCAUGAAGUCGGACAAGCCCAUGGACAAGGGGAGUACAUUGCAGGGCAACAUGAGGAGCAAGGGAAGCACAUGACAAACAGGAAGCAUGACUGAAGCUGAGCAGUACUGACAGAACUGACAGUCCAUAUCUUGGACAACAGUACAACCUGACAUGGACCAGCUUCUGAAUAUGAGGUGCAACCUUUUCUCCUGAUGAGUGCCAUCUGAUGGACAUCAAAGAGGAGGAUGAGGACAAUGCAUACAGGUCAUUUACGGUCACAGGAUGUAAGGCUGAUGCUCUUUGACAAUGACAAUCCCUUUUGUUCCUCAUUUGAUGGACUGACUGAAUAAUUUAUGCAGUAUAUAUAUGUGUGAGUGUGUUUCAAUGGUAACCUUACAAAACUAAUAUAACAGAACCCCCUGUAAAUCCCAACAUAACACAACAUUAAACACUAACUUAUGUCUCCCUGUUAAUCUUGUGCAAAAACACACAAAUAACACUUAAUUUCAACAUUUAUUUAUACAGUCUGACGCAAAGCAUUAAGGAAAUUAGAAAUCUGCUGCAACUCAACUCAAUCAUAGUAAGUUCAGCUUACUACAAUGAAAUUGAGUUUUCUAUUAAGUACAAUGAACUUUCAUUAUUAUUUGAGUGAAACAAACUCAUUUCAUUUCAUUAAUUUCACUGUUCGGUUUUACAUUGAGGAUGUUGCCUAUUUGGAACAGAGUUUUUUGUGUCUGCUCUAAAAGAGAAGAACUCAGGAUUCAGGAGUGUGAAAAGGUUCACCUGUCUCAUGAUUUAAUAAUUCAGAAGAGUGCUCUGUAUAUCCUUACUUGACUGGAUGAGAGUCAACCAUAUCUGCCACUCCGCCAAGUGUUCAAGCACCGUAACGGCCUCAUAAACAUGUUCAUUAAAAUCAGGUCAGAGGCAAAUAUAGUCAUGAAGUUUAACGACUCUCAUUUCUUCAUUAAUGGCGGCACGAUUUUGAAACGGGGGGCCCUGGAAGCGGAAAAGCAAUAUUUUGCACUUGUGCAUCAAUUUCUGUUCUAAUUAAUUUAGCUUCUUAAUUAUGCUGGUUUGAUUGUAAUGUAUUCAGUUGAUUAAUGAUGCUAAAGGAAAGUUUCACUCUCAUCUGGAGAGCAAUUAUCAGUGCGCCCGAGCUCUAGUGCACCUGUCAAGCUCUAAACCGAACUCUCUUAUAGUCUUCUUCUGUCAGAUUGCUUUUGGAAGGGACUUAAUGGUUUUGGCUCAGGUGCACAAACAGUAUUUUUAGGACUUACUAAUGAUGAUUUAUUAUUUUGCGGAAGAUAGAAAUGGGGUACAACUUAACUUUCUUUCAGCCAAGUCUUUAUUGAUUGAAUGAAACCUAAUUAAAGCAGGACGAAGACUAUAAAUAUGUUUAACUAAUAAUGAUGUACUUGAUCCGCUCAGUCACCAGCAGUGAAUGUUAUCCUCUCUGAGUCUUUAUUUGUGAUGUGCGUUCACGGUCAAUUUGAAACUCGGUAGGAAAAAAAUCAAAGUAACCUAUUUAGCGUUGUAAUUUGUUAUUAACAAAUAUCUCAAUCUACAUUUACUUAUGGUCAUUGUGUCUACAAGCUGAAUUGAAGGUGCUUGUUUUUCUGGGUGGUUUAUAGAAAUAUGCUAAAUCUAGAUGGGAUGAAAGAGCAAACAUGAUGAAAGAGACUUGUCACCACUUUAUUUUUGUAUUUUUCAAUAUUUUUUUAUUGUGUGCUGACACACUCGCUCUUCAAACACCCUACAAUCCACUGAUUACAAGUGACAGCAAAUAAAGACAGGCAGAUUCUGUUGGAAUAUGUAAUUGUGUGGCAAUAUACUUUCAUGUUCCAAACCUGUAUACAAGCAAUUUUCACGUAGAUUUUUUUCUAUACAAUGACAGCCCCAGGAAAUCACAUUCCUAAGAGGUCAAAGAAAUACCAUAAACCAUAUUCAGUAAGUUUUUAAAUAAAUAAAUAAAAUUAAUACUUUUUUUUAACAAGGGCACAUUUAAUUAAUCAAAAGUGACACUAAAGACUUUCACAUUGAUACAAAAAAACAUUUCAAAUAAAUGCCGUUCUUUUAAACGUUCUAUUCAUUGAAGAUCCCUGAAAAAAACGAAUAACAGAUAUUAAGCAGCACGACUGUUUUCAACAUUG